rnacentral:rRNA from 1 species
AACGAACGCUGGCGGCAUGCCUAACACAUGCAAGUCGAACGAGACCUUCGGGUCUAGUGGCGCACGGGUGCGUAACGCGUGGGAACCUGCCCUUAGGUUCGGAAUAACUCCCCGAAAGGGGUGCUAAUACCGGAUAAUGUCUUCGGACCAAAGAUUUAUCGCCUUUGGAUGGGCCCGCGUUGGAUUAGCUAGUUGGUAGGGUAAAAGCCUACCAAGGCGACGUUCCAUAGCUGGUCUGAGAGGAUGAUCAGCCACACUGGGACUGAGACACGGCCCAGACUCCUACGGGAGGCAGCAGUGGGGAAUAUUGGACAAUGGGCGAAAGCCUGAUCCAGCAAUGCCGCGUGAGUGAUGAAGGCCUUAGGGUUGUAAAGCUCUUUUACCCGGGAUGAUAAUGAUAGUACCGGGAGAAUAAGCUCCGGCUAACUCCGUG